CCACUAUUGUCUCACUGCACGGGUGAUGUCACGAGCAUGCAUUUUUGGUACUAUCCGUGCAUUUUUCUCCCAUCAGUUUCACACUACUGCACGGCUUCAUGAACUUCUUGUAAAAAUGCUUCCUUGAUACAAGGAAGCAAAAUCCAGCAGCCUCAGUGUUCACGGGCACAUCUUUAGCAGCUGUUGAAGCCCUGUGAGAUGAAAAAUUGGACAAUUUCUUAUGGCAAAUUUUAGUUGGAAUGAAGA